rnacentral:rRNA from 1 species
UGGGGAAUAUUGCACAAUGGGCGAAAGCCUGAUGCAGCAACGCCGCGUGAGUGAUGAAGGCCUUCGGGUUGUAAAGCUCUGUCUUUUGGGACGAUAAUGACGGUACCAAAGGAGGAAGCCACGGCUAACUACGUGCCAGCAGCCGCGGUAAUACGUAGGUGGCAAGCGUUGUCCGGAUUUACUGGGCGUAAAGGAUGCGUAGGCGGAUUUUUAAGUGAGAUGUGAAAUACCCGGGCUUAACUUGGGUGCUGCAUUUCAAACUGGGAAUCUAGAGUGCGGGAGAGGAGAAUGGAAUUCCUAGUGUAGCGGUGAAAUGCGUAGAGAUUAGGAAGAACACCAGUGGCGAAGGCGAUUCUCUGGACCGUAACUGACGCUGAGGCAUGAAAGCGUGGGUAGCAAACAGGAUUAGAUACCCUGGUAGUCCACGCCGUAAACGAUGAGUACUUAGGUGUAGGAGGUAUCGACCCCUUCUGUGCCGCAGUUAACACAAUAAGUGCUCCGCCUGGGAAGUACGAUCGCAAGAUUAAAACUCAAAGGAAUUGAC